rnacentral:rRNA from 1 species
AUUGAACGCUGGCGGCACGCCUAACACAUGCAAGUCGAGCGGCAGCGAGACCAGUAGCAAUACUAGUUGUCGGCGAGCGGCGGACGGGUGAGGAAACUGUAGGAAUCUGCCCUCUAGCGGGGACAACUAAGGGAAACUUUAGCUAAUACCGCAUAAUCUCGAGAGAGUAAAGUUGCCCGCAAGGGUGACACUAGAGGAGGAGCCUGCAUCCGAUUAGCUAGUUGGUGAGGUAAUGGCUCACCAAAGCGAUGAUCGGUAACUGGUCUGAGAGGACGACCAGUCACACUGGGACUGAGACACGGCCCAGACUCCUACGGGAGGCAGCAGUGGGGAAUAUUGGACAAUGGGGGCAACCCUGAUCCAGCGAUGCCGCGUGGGUGAAGAAGGCCUCGGGUUGUAAAGCCCUUUAGGCUGGGAAGAAGUUUGGUGGCUGAAUAAUCCAUCAGAUUGACGGUACCAGCAGAAUAAGCACCGGCAAACUCUGUGCCAGCAGCCGCGGUAAUACAGAGGGUGCGAGCGUUAAUCGGAUUUACUGGGCGUAAAGGGCGCGUAGGCGGUUAUAUUAGUGUGAUGUGAAAGCCCUGGGCUUAACCU